CCCCAGCCGAUGGAUAGUCAGUAAAGAAUCAGAAUUACCUGGAAAGGUAAGCCGGAGAGGGUGACAGCCCCGUACGAGUAGAAAAGCUGACUGUUCUUGAGUAAGGCGGAGCACGAGAAAUUCUGUCUGAAAAUGGGGAGACCACUCUCCAAGGCUAAGUACUACUGAUUGACCGAUAGUGAACAAGUACCGUGAGGGAAAGGUGAAAAGCACCCCUAUAAGGGGAGUGAAAGAGAACCUGAAACCGGAUGCCUACAAGCAGUCGGAGGGUCUAUAAGGCCUGACGGCGUACCUUUUGUAUAAUGGGUCAGCGACUUAAUUUAUGUAGCAAGCUUAAGCCGAUAGGUGUAGGCGUAGAGAAAUCGAGUGUUAACAGCGCGUUAAGUUACAUGAAUUAGACCCGAAACCGAGUGAUCUAGCCAUGAUCAGGUUGAAGGUUGGGUAACACCAACUGGAGGACCGAACCCACUCCCGUUGAAAAGGUAGGGGAUGAAUUGUGGCUAGGGGUGAAAGGCCAAUCAAACUCGGAAAUAGCUGGUUCUCCGCGAAAACUAUUUAGGUAGUGCGGUGAGCGGACACCUUGAGGGGUAGAGCACUGGAAGAGCUAAGGGGGAGCGAUCCUUACUAAACUUUACCAAACUCCGAAUACUCAAGAGUGAUACUCACCAGACAGACAUUAGGUGCUAAGGUCUAGUGUCGAGAGGGAAAGAGCCCAGACCGCCAAUUAAGGUCCCAAAAUUAUGGCUAAGUGGUAAAGGAAGUGAAACGUCCAAAACAGUCAGGAGGUUGGCUUAGAAGCAGCCAUCCUUUAAAGAAAGCGUAAUAGCUCACUGAUCUAAACAAGACGUCUUGCGCCGAAGAUGUAACGGGGCUAAAGCCAUAUACCGAAGUUGCGGAUUUACACGUUAAAGUGUAAGUGGUAGCGGAGCGUUCUGUAAGCCUGCGAAGGUGUACCGUAAGGUAUGCUGGAGGUAUCAGAAGUGAGAAUGCUGACAUGAGUAGCGAAAAGAAGAGUGAGAGACUCUUCCGCUGAAAGUCCAAGGUUUCCUGCGUAAAGCUAAUCUGCGCAGGGUUAGUCGGUCCCUAAGGCGAGGCAGAGAUGCGUAGUCGAUGGCAAUCAGGUUAAUAUUCCUGAACCGGCCCGGAAGUGACGGAUUGAGUAAAUUGUAAGUUCUUAUUGGAUUGAACUUGCAGUGAAUCAGUCCCAGGAAAUAGCCCGGGCUAAGACCGUACCCGAAACCGACACAGGUGGACAGGUAGAGAAUACCAAAGCGCUUGAGAGAACUAUGUUGAAGGAACUAGGCAAAAUACUUGCGUAACUUCGGGAUAAGCAAGCCCCAUUUUAAGGCAACUUAGGGUGGGGGGCACAUACUAGGGGGUAGCGACUGUUUACUAAAAACACAGGGCUCUGCUAAAUUGAAAGAUGAAGUAUAGGGUCUGACGCCUGCCCGGUGCUGGAAGGUUAAGGAGAGAUGUGCAAGCAUUGAACUGAAGCCCCAGUAAACGGCGGCCGUAACUAUAACGGUCCUAAGGUAGCGAAAUUCCUUGUCGGGUAAGUUCCGACCUGCACGAAUGGCGUAACGACUUCCCCGCUGUCUCCAACAUAGGCUCAGCGAAAUUGAACUCUGAGUUAAGAUGCUCAGUACCCGCGGUUAGACGGAAAGACCCCGUGAACCUUUACUAUAGCUUUGCAGUGGUAUUAGGUAACAAAUGUGUAGAAUAGGUGGGAUGCUAUGAAGCUACGACGCCAGUUGUAGUGGAGCAGACUUUGAAAUACCACCCUUUUGUUGUUUGAUAUCUAACCUGCUCCCGUUAUCCGGGAGAGGGACCCUGCAUGGUGGGUAGUUUGACUGGGGCGGUCGCCUCCCAAAGAGUAACGGAGGCGCGCAAAGGUUGGCUCAGAUUGGUCAGAAAUCAAUCGUCGAGUGCAAUGGCAUAAGCCAGCCUGACUGCGAGAGAGACAUUUCGAGCAGAUACGAAAGUAGGUCAUAGUGAUCCGGUGGUCCCGAGUGGAAGGGCCAUCGCUCAACGGAUAAAAGGUACUCCGG
rnacentral:rRNA from 1 species